AGUGAACGCUGGCGGUAGGCCUAACACAUGCAAGUCGAACGGCAGCACAGUAAGAGCUUGCUCUUACGGGUGGCGAGUGGCGGACGGGUGAGGAAUACAUCGGAAUCUACUUUUUCGUGGGGGAUAACGUAGGGAAACUUACGCUAAUACCGCAUACGACCUACGGGUGAAAGCAGGGGAUCUUCGGACCUUGCGCGAUUGAAUGAGCCGAUGUCGGAUUAGCUAGUUGGCGGGGUAAAGGCCCACCAAGGCGACGAUCCGUAGCUGGUCUGAGAGGAUGAUCAGCCACACUGGAACUGAGACACGGUCCAGACUCCUACGGGAGGCAGCAGUGGGGAAUAUUGGACAAUGGGCGCAAGCCUGAUCCAGCCAUACCGCGUGGGUGAAGAGGGCCUUCGGGUUAUAAAGCCCUUUUGUUGGGAAAGAAAAGCAGCAGGUUAAUACCCCGCUGUUCUGACGGUACCCAAAGAAUAAGCACCGGCUAACUUCGUG
rnacentral:rRNA from 1 species